AGUGAACGCUGGCGGUAGGCCUAACACAUGCAAGUCGAACGGCAGCACAGUAAGAGCUUGCUCUUACGGGUGGCGAGUGGCGGACGGGUGAGGAAUACAUCGGAAUCUACUUUUUCGUGGGGGAUAACGUAGGGAAACUUACGCUAAUACCGCAUACGAACUACGGGUGAAAGCAGGGGAUCUUCGGACCUUGCGCGAUUGAAUGAGCCGAUGUCGGAUUAGCUAGUUGGCGGGGUAAAGGCCCACCAAGGCGACGAUCCGUAGCUGGUCUGAGAGGAUGAUCAGCCACACUGGAACUGAGACACGGUCCAGACUCCUACGGGAGGCAGCAGUGGGGAAUAUUGGACAAUGGGCGCAAGCCUGAUCCAGCCAUACCGCGUGGGUGAAGAAGGCCUUCGGGUUGUAAAGCCCUUUUGUUGGGAAAGAAAAGCAGCAGGUUGAUACCCCGCUGUUCUGACGGUACCCAAAGAAUAAGCACCGGCUAACUUCGUG
rnacentral:rRNA from 1 species